GUAGGGAAUUUUGGACAAUGGGCGCAAGCCUGAUCCAGCAAUGCCGCGUGCAGGAAGAAGGCCUUCGGGUUGUAAACUGCUUUUGUACGGAACGAAACGGUCCUGGUUAAUACCUGGGGCUAAUGACGGUACCGUAAGAAUAAGCACCGGCUAACUACGUGCCAGCAGCCGCGGUAAUACGUAGGGUGCGAGCGUUAAUCGGAAUUACUGGGCGUAAAGCGUGCGCAGGCGGUGCUGUAAGACAGGCGUGAAAUCCCCGGGCUCAACCUGGGAAUUGCGCUUGUGACUGCAGUGCUGGAGUGCGGCAGAGGGGGAUGGAAUUCCGCGUGUAGCAGUGAAAUGCGUAGAUAUGCGGAGGAACACCGAUGGCGAAGGCAAUCCCCUGGGCCUGCACUGACGCUCAUGCACGAAAGCGUGGGGAGCAAACAGGAUUAGAUACCCCUGUAGUCC
rnacentral:rRNA from 1 species